AAAUUUUUCAAUUUAAUUAAAUAAAUUUUAUUUUUGUAAUUAUUUCAAAAAGAAUCAUCGGUUUUAGAGAUCUAAACAAGAACUUUGACUUGAAAUAAGGUAAAAACGAGACAAUGACUUAUCAAAUAUUGAUGUCAAACAAAAGAAAGUCAACAAGAAUAUGACCAGUACUGACAAGCAGAGUUCUAAUCUCAAAAAAUAUCAGAGAAAUGUAAAAAUUCAAAAUAAUCUCUCGUCAAUUUACUUCUGUCGAAUAGUAUCACCAGUGAUUGUAUUGUGCCCGCGUACACAAACAAAAGUUAGCGGGAAGCCUAUACUACCUAUGAUCUAUUGAGUUUUACAAGUUUACAAUGUUCGUUUGGUCGCUCGCCAGCCGACGUACAUUAGUAAUAUACUGAAUACGCCAGAGUGAGAGGUAUCUUAAUGAGUGUAAUCUCCUCGACGGCCGGCGAGUGCGAGUGUCGAUGCACGAUACUUCUGUGAAAUAAUAAUCCGUGUGUACAAUCAUCUCCAAGGAAUGCAAUUUAAAAUAAAAACUUGCCUGUGACUCUGCUUGCUGUCAAUUUCUGAUCAGCAAGUACCGGAAAAUUUUAAAAACAGCGUGUAUGUUUGCCAAACAAUCGUAGCAUUGAAUGCGGAUUUGGAUUUGAUGAUAAUACCAGUGUGCCGAAUUCACCCACGCAUACAAUUUCUACCUAAAAAUCCCAGUCCCAAGCCGGAGCUCGGACUCGCCGGAGAGGAAAACGAAAACAG